AGACCUCCUGAAUCAGAACCUCAGGGUGGGCCUGGCCAUCGGAGUUUUAACAAGGCCUCCAAAACAUUCUGACACUCACCAGAGUCUGAGAGACACAGCAGAGCUAGAAUCUGGGCUCCAGUUUUCACCCAGGAGACAGGAGGAUUCUGGGUGGAAGGGCAGGAGGGACUGGGGUCCCCCCUAGAAGGAGCGCCCCAGGAGGACGCCACACAGAGAGUCUUCCGAGAUGGAAAUGCUUGCAAGGAAGGAAGAGACACUUUCUAUCUUCUGCCAUCAGAAGCACAGAAGGGUGAAGCCAGGCACACCCAGAGAAGCAUCUCAUGUUGUGUGUGGCUGCUGCAGCGCUCUCUUGGGCCCUGGGGCAGGAGAUGCUCAAAGGUCAACAGGACUUGGGAAGGCAGCUGUGAGUAAAGCCCCCAGUCCUGGUCCUGGACUCACUGCACCAGGGACCCCAAGGGGCUAAACAUGACUGGAUUGUAGCAAGCCAUUUUCAACAUGCAAAGAAGCAACCAGGAAGAAUGUCUAAUUACAGAUGUGCUAUUUCUCUCCUC
rnacentral:lncRNA from 10 species